rnacentral:tRNA from 1 species
CUUGGUAGUAAGGGCUACCGCCCUGUGCUUGGGGCUACAGCCCACCGCCUAAACUCGGCCAUAUUAGC